rnacentral:rRNA from 1 species
UACGGAGGGUGCAAGCGUUAUCCGGAUUCACUGGGUUUAAAGGGUGUGUAGGCGGGUAUUUAAGUUAGGGGGGAAAUCUCCAGGCUCAACCUGGAAACUGCCAUUGAUACUAUUUAUCUUGAAUUCUGUUGAGGUGGGCGGAAUACAUCAUGUAGCGGUGAAAUGCUUAGAUAUGAUGUAGAACACCGAUUGCGAAGGCAGCUCACUAAACAGACAUUGACGCUGAGGCACGAAAGCGUGGGGAUCAAACAGG